rnacentral:rRNA from 1 species
AUUGAACGCUGGCGGCAGGCCUAACACAUGCAAGUCGAACGGUAGCACAGAGAGCUUGCUCUCGGGUGACGAGUGGCGGACGGGUGAGUAAUGUCUGGGAAACUGCCCGAUGGAGGGGGAUAACUACUGGAAACGGUAGCUAAUACCGCAUAACGUCGCAAGACCAAAGUGGGGGACCUUCCGGCCUCACACCAUCGGAUGUGCCCAGAUGGGAUUAGCUAGUAGGUGGGGUAAUGGCUCACCUAGGCGACGAUCCCUAGCUGGUCUGAGAGGAUGACCAGCCACACUGGAACUGAGACACGGUCCAGACUCCUACGGGAGGCAGCAGUGGGGAAUAUUGCACAAUGGGCGCAAGCCUGAUGCAGCCAUGCCGCGUGUAUGAAGAAGGCCUUCGGGUUGUAAAGUACUUUCAGUGGGGAGGAAGGCGGUGAAGUUAAUAACUUCACCGAUUGACGUUACCCGCAGAAGAAGCACCGGCUAACUCCGUGCCAGCAGCCGCAGUAACAC